rnacentral:RNase_P_RNA from 1 species
GAGGAAAGUCCGGGCUCCAUAGGGCAGAGUGCCAGGUAACGCCUGGGGGGCGCGAGCCUACGGAAAGUGGAACAGAGAGCAGACCGCCUAAGCGCUCGCAAGAGUGCCGGUAAGGGUGAAAGGGUGCGGUAAGAGCGCACCGCGCAAWUGGCAACAGGMUGCGGCAUGGUAAACCCCACUCGGAGCAAGACCAAAUAGGAAUCCAUUGGUGCGGCCCGCAUCGGAUUCGGGUAGGUUGCUUGAGGCUAACGGUGACGUUAGAUACCCANAUGAAUGACUGUCUACGACAGAAUCCGGCUUAUGAAUUCCGACAGAACCCGGCUUA